UACGUAGGUGACAAGCGUUGUCCGGAUUUACUGGGCGUAAAGAGCGCGCAGGCGGUCGAUCAAGUCGAGUGUGAAAGCCCCCGGCUCAACUGGGGAGGGUCAUUCGAUACUGAUCGACUCGAAGGCAGGAGAGGGUAGUGGAAUUCCCGGUGUAGUGGUGAAAUGCUUAGAUAUUCGGAAGAACACCAGUGGCGAAGGCGGCUCACUGGACUGGUAUUGACGCUGAGGUGCGAAAGCGUGGGGAGCAAACAGG
rnacentral:rRNA from 1 species